rnacentral:rRNA from 1 species
GAUGAACGCUAGCCACAGGCUUAACACAUGCAAGUCGAGGGGAAACGACAUCGAAAGCUUGCUUUUGAUGGGCGUCGACCGGCGCACGGGUGAGUAACGCGUAUCCAACCUGCCCAUCACUUGGGAAUAACCUUGCGAAAGUAAGACUAAUACCCAAUGAUAUCCCACGAAGGCAUCGGAAUGGGAUUAAAGAUUUAUCGGUGAUGGAUGGGGAUGCGUCUGAUUAGCUUGUUGGCGGGGUAACGGCCCACCAAGGCAACGAUCAGUAGGGGUUCUGAGAGGAAGGUCCCCCACAUUGGAACUGAGACACGGUCCAAACUCCUACGGGAGGCAGCAGUGAGGAAUAUUGGUCAAUGGGCGAGAGCCUGAACCAGCCAAGUAGCGUGCAGGAAGACGGCCCUAUGGGUUGUAAACUGCUUUUAUAAGGGAAUAAAGUGGGUCACGUGUGACUUUUUGCAUGUACCUUAUGAAUAAGGACCGGCUAAUUCCGUG